UACAAGGGCAUCGUCAAAGAAUUCGUAAAUUCCCCUUCUCUUUCGCUCUCCAACUUCUUAUUUGUUAUUUCAAUUAUCUGAGAUCUUGUUUUCUUGCUAAUUUAUUUCGAUUUAUUUGAACCCACAUUGCUAUAGGGGAUGUAGAUCCUAUUUUAAUUGGGUUUUUAUUAAUUAGCUUCUGGAAUUGUGAGUCUUGUAGUGCUUAAUUUCCCUGUCUGGUUUUGUUCCUGGAAUCUGCUAUUGUGGAGAUGAGAAUAGAAGACUUCGAGUUUAAUUUGGAGUAUUAGGUUAGAAUGGAGUAGGCAUGAAUUUGAUGGUUUGGGUGCUUCCUACAUUGUUGGCUAACACGGCUUUUAAACCUGAAAUUAGAAUUU
rnacentral:misc_RNA from 1 species